AAAACAAGGAAUACUGGCUGGUGAAGAACAGCUGGGGGGUCUGGUUUGGAGACUCGGGAUACAUCCGGAUGGCCCGGAACGCUGCCAACCGCUGCGGCAUCGCCAGCUACGCCUCCUAUCCCGUCAUUUAGCCGGAUCCCAGCGCCCCUUCCAGGGAAUUCUUCCGCUUCCCGAGGCGCUUUCCGGCUCUGGGGAUUGGAAACAGGGAUUGGACACGGGGAUAACAGGGAUUGGAAACAGGGAUUGGACACGGGGAUAAUAGGGAUUGGAAACAGGGAUUGGACACGGGGAUAAUAGGGAUUGGAAACAGGGAUUGGACACGGGGAUAAUAGGGAUUGGAAACAGGGAUUGGACUUGGGGAUAAUAGGGAUUGGAAACAGGGAUUGGACACAGGGAUAACGGAUUGGACACAGGGAUAGCAGGGAUUGGACACAGGAAUUGGACACAGGAAUAACAGGGAUUGGAAACAGGGAUUGGAAACAGGGAUAACAGGGAUUGGACACAGGGAUAACAGGGAUUGGACAUGGGAAUAAUAGGGAUUGGAAACAGGAAUUGGACACAGGGAUAACAGGGAUUGGAAACAGGGAUAACAGGGAUUGGAAACAGGAAUAAUAGGGAUUGGACACAGGGAUUGGAAACAGGGAUAACAGGGAUUGGACACAGGAAUAAUAGGGAUUGGAAAUAGGGAUUGGAAACAGGGAUAACAGGGAUUGGAGAUGGGGAUAAUGGGAUUGGAUACAGGGAUAACAGGAACUGGACACAGAGAUUGGAAGCAGGGAUAACAGGAAUUGGAAACGGGGUUAACAGGGAUUGGAAACAGGGUUUGGAUACAGGGAUUGGAAACAGGGAUAGCAGGGGUUGGACACAGGGAUAAUAGGGACUGGAAACAGGGAUAACAGGGACUGGAAACAGGGAUAACAGGGAUUGGAAACAAGGAUUGGAAACAGGGAUAACAGGGAUUGGACAUGGGGAUAAUGGACUGGAUACAGGGAUAACAGGGAUUGGAAACAGGGAUUGGAUACAGGGAUUGGAAACAGGGAUAGCAGGGAUUGGUCACAGGGAUAAUGGGGAUUGGACACAGAAAUGGGACACAGGGAUCACAGGGAUCAGGUUCAGGGAUCACGGGGAUCUCAGGGAUCGUGGGAUCCUCCCUCUGGAUGAGCACGGAGCUGCUGCGAUGCUGGGGGAGUUGACUCCUCUCCGUGUGAUGCUGCUGGAAUUGCGAAUAUUCCUGGGAAAAUAAAAGGUCUCAUUCGCUGUCUGGAAA